AAAAGCUCGUAGUUGGAUCUCAGCUCAUGUCGGAUGUGUCCGCCAAUCGGUGGUUACCGUCCGGACUGUGCAAUAUAGCCGGUUUCUCUUGAUGAUCUUCACCGGUUGUCUUGAGUGACCGGCAAGUUUACUUUGAAAAAAUUAGAGUGCUCAAAGCAUGCGUGACGCAGGAAUAAUGGUGCAUGGAAUAAUGGAAUAGGACCUCGAUUCUAUUUUGUUGGUUUUCGGAACACGAGGUAAUGAUUAAGAGGGACAGACGGGGGCAUUCGUAUUGCGACGCUAGAGGUGAAAUUCUUGGACCGUCGCAAGACGAACUACUGCGAAAGCAUUUGCCAAGAAUGUUUCCAUUAAUCAAGAACGAAAGUUAGAGGUUCGAAGGCGAUCAGAUACCGCCCUAGUUCUAACCAUAAACGAUGCCAGCCAGCGAUCCGGCUGUGUUCCUCAAAUGACACGCCGGGCAGCUUCCGGGAAACCAAAGCUUUUGGGUUCCGGGGGAAGUAUGGUUGCAAAGCUGAAACUUAAAGGAAUUGACGGAAGGGCACCACAAGGAAUGGAGCUUGCGGCUUAAUUUGACUCAACACGGGAAAGCCUACCCGGCCCGGACACAGGAAGGAUUGACAGAUUAAGAGCUCUUUCUUGAUUCUGUGGGAGGUGGUGCAUGGCCAUUCUUAGUUGGUGGAGCGAUUUGUCUGGUUAAUUCCGAUAACGAUCGAGACUCUAGCCUACUAAAUAGACGAUCCGAUCGCUUCGUCGUCGGACGUUCUUCUUAGAGGGACACGCGGCGUUUAGCCGCACGAGACAGGGCAAUAGUAGGUCUGUGAUGCCCUUAGAUGUCCGGGGCCGCACGCGUGCUACAUUGAAGGAAUCAGCGUGUGCUUUCCUAGUCCGAAAGGAUUGGGUAACCCGUUGAAACUCCUUCGUGCUGGGGAUAGAAAGUUGUAAUUGUCUUUCUUGAACGAGGAAUUCCUAGUAAGCGUGAGUCAUUAACUCAUGUUGAUUAGGUCCCUGCCCUUUGUGCACACCGCCCGUCGCUACUACUGAUUGAAUGUUUUAGUGAGGUCUUCGGACUGGCGCUCGGCAUUGGCCUUCGGGUCGAGUUGAUGUUGCCGGAAAGAUGACCGAAUUCGAAUAUUUAGAAGAAGUAAAAGUCGUAACAAGGUUUCC
rnacentral:rRNA from 1 species